AAAAAUCCGCGAGAAGGUGGUGCAAGAAGAUGGCGGUGCUGGGGCAGAGUUUGCAAUCUUUCUGAAUAGGCUAGUCGAGUAACUAUUCGGGUCAUGGCGUCAAACUCAACUAAGUCUUUUCUGGCAGAUGCCGGCUAUGGCGAACAGGAGCUGGAUGCUAACUCUGCCCUUAUGGAAUUAGACAAAGGUCUAAGAUCUGGCAAACUUGGUGAACAGUGUGAAGCAGUUGUCCGCUUUCCCAGGCUCUUUCAAAAGUAUCCAUUCCCCAUUCUCAUCAAUUCCGCUUUCCUAAAGUUAGCUGAUGUUUUCAGAGUCGGAAACAAUUUCCUGAGGCUGUGUGUUCUUAAAGUUACUCAACAAAGUGAGAAGCAUUUGGAGAAGAUUCUAAAUGUGGAUGAAUUUGUGAAGAGGAUUUUCUCUGUGAUUCAUAGUAAUGAUCCUGUAGCAAGAGCCAUCACACUCCGGAUGUUGGGAAGUCUGGCAUCAAUAAUUCCUGAGAGGAAGAAUGCUCAUCAUAGUAUUCGUCAGAGUCUGGAUUCACAUGAUAACGUAGAAGUUGAAGCUGCUGUUUUUGCUGCUGCUAACUUCUCUGCACAGUCAAAGGAUUUUGCUGUAGGAAUCUGUAACAAAAUCAGUGAAAUGAUUCAAGGUCUAGCCACGCCAGUAGACUUGAAGCUGAAGUUGAUCCCUAUCCUGCAGCACAUGCACCAUGAUGCAAUAUUGGCGUCCAGUGCUCGUGAGCUCUUACAACAGCUAGUCACAUCCUAUCCUUCCAACAAAAUGGUGAUUGUUUCUUUGCACACCUUUACUCUGCUUGCAGCUUCAUCUUUGGUUGAUACGCCUAAGCAGAUUCAGCUUCUAUUGCAGUAUUUAAAGAAUGACCCCAGGAAAGCAGUAAAGAGACUUGCUAUUCAAGAUCUGAAAUUACUUGCCAGUAAAACACCACAUACUUGGAGUAGGGAAAACAUUCAGUCACUCUGUGAAUGUGCCCUCCAAACUCCUUAUGACAGCUUGAAACUUGGGAUGUUGUCUGUUCUUUCCACGCUGUCAGGGACCAUCGCCGUCAAACAUUACUUCAGCAUAGCUUCAGGAAAUGUGGGUUCUUCCCCUAGAUCCUCUGAUUUAGUCAAAUUAGCCCAAGAGUGCUGUUACCAUAAUAACAGGGGCAUUGCAGCUCAUGGAGUGAGAGUCCUAACUAAUAUUACUGUCUCCUGUCAAGAAAAAGACCUUUUGGCACUGGAACAAGAUGCUGUCUUUGGCCUGGAAUCCCUUCUGGUACUUUGUAGUGAAGAUGAUAGCCCAGGUGCUCAAGCCACUUUAAAGAUCGCUCUGAAUUGUAUGGUGAAGUUGGCCAAGGGUAGGCCCCAUCUCAGCCAGUCUGUAGUUGAGACCUUGUUGACUCAGUUGCACAGUGCUCAGGACGCUGCCCGGAUCCUGAUGUGCCACUGCCUGGCCGCCAUUGCCAUGCAGCUGCCUGUGUUGGGCGAUGGAAUGCUCGGGGACCUCAUGGAGCUCUACAAGGUGAUCGGACGAUCAGCCACAGACAAGCAACAAGAACUUCUGGUGAGCUUGGCCACUGUGAUUUUUGUAGCCAGUCAGAAAGCACUGUCUGCUGAAGUAAAGGCAGUAAUUAAGCAGCAGCUUGAAAGCGUCUCCAAUGGAUGGACUGUAUACCGAAUUGCCAGACAGGCAUCCCGAAUGGGUAAUCACGACAUGGCCAGAGAGCUUUAUCAGAGUUUGCUGACUCAGGUUGCCUCAGAACAUUUCUACUUCUGGCUGAAUAGUUUGAAAGAGUUCUCACAUGCAGAACAGUGUCUCACUGGGUUGCAAGAGGAGAAUUAUAGUUCAGCACUUUCUUGCAUUGCUGAGUCUUUAAAAUUCUACCACAAAGGGAUUGCUUCCUUAACGGCUGCCAGUACACCACUGAAUCCUUUAAGUUUUCAGUGUGAAUUUGUGAAGCUCAGGAUUGACCUUCUCCAAGCCUUCUCUCAACUUAUCUGUACUUGUAGUAGCCUCAAGACAAGCCCGCCACCUGCAAUUGCCACAACAAUUGCCAUGACCUUAGGGAAUGACCUCCAGCGGUGCGGUCGCAUCUCCAAUCAGAUGAAACUGUCCAUGGAAGAAUUCCGAAGCCUUGCUUCCCGAUAUGGGGAUCUUUAUCAGGCAUCUUUUGAUGCUGAUUCCGCAACUUUGAGGAAUGUAGAACUACAGCAGCAGAGCUGUUUACUGAUAUCUCAUGCAAUAGAAGCGCUGAUUUUGGAUCCAGAAUCAGCAAGUUUCCAGGAAUAUGGAUCUACAGGAGCAGCCCAUGCUGACAGUGAAUAUGAGAGAAGAAUGAUGUCUGUAUAUAAUCAUGUCUUGGAGGAGGUGGAAUCACUCAGUCGGAAAUAUACCCCUGUUUCUUAUAUGCAUACAGCAUGCCUCUGCAAUGCCAUCAUUUCUUUGCUGAAAGUUCCUCUUUCAUUUCAGAGAUAUUUUUUCCAGAAACUGCAGUCUACCAGCAUCAAGCUUGCCCUGUCACCAUCCCCCCGGAACCCUGCUGAACCCAUUGCUGUCCAGAAUAACCAGCAACUGGCGCUGAAGGUAGAGGGAGUGGUCCAGCACGGAUCUAAACCAGGACUCUUCCGCAAAAUUCAGUCUGUCUGUCUGAAUGUUUCUUCCACACUGCAGAGUAAAUCCGGACAAGACUACAAGAUACCCAUUGACAAUAUGACCAAUGAGAUGGAGCAGAGGGUUGAGCCUCAUAAUGAUUACUUCAGUACUCAAUUCCUGUUGAACUUUGCUAUCCUUGGCACACACAACAUUACAGUGGAGUCUUCUGUGAAAGAUGCCAACGGCAUCGUUUGGAAGACUGGUCCCAGAACCACCAUAUUUGUAAAAUCCCUGGAAGACCCUUAUUCGCAGCAGAUUCGCCUGCAGCAGCAGCAAGUCCAGCAGCCGUUACAACAGCAGCAGCAGCGAAAUGCCUACACGCGGUUUUAGCCGUGCAGCAGAGGCACUACAGACUUUCCAGGGACUGAGCAAAUUAGCGAAAAUAGUUUGCUUUUUCAUAUGGAUAAAGCACUUCGAAUGCAGUGUCCUUUCCUCCUCAGAGAGCCUCUUUUUGACAUAAGCAGAGACAGUUGGUUACCUACUACUUGGAAGCCAGAGAGGAACAAAAGAGCAUUUGGAAAAAAGAAACUACUGCUUCUGGCCAGGCCGUUGGAGGACACGAACCCCUCAAUGUCACGUUUCAAGGUAUCAGGGCAUUAGGGAGAAAUGACUGUAAUCACAGAAUCACUUAAGAUCAUAUCUAUCCUACUUCGUGGUUACAGUGUCCCCCGGGAUGCUCAAGAGAGUAUUAGCCCUGCCUGGAGUUGUCUCUCUCAGGGAGUGAGCACAUCUGGAAUCUCCUUGAGGGCCCUUGGUGCAGGAGGGGUCCCACGCGUCUGCCCCAAGCACCGCCUUCCCCUGCCUCUCUCCCCUGCAUGCUGACCAGGUUAGCUGAUGGAAAGCACUUUUCCUUCAUCCUAAGCACCAAGGUAACUCAGCUGACAUCACAGGGCACUGUAGCUCAGUCAGCAUUUGUCCAUUUGUUUGAGCAGGCAUUUGUGAGCUAGAUUUCUCAGAUCUGUGCAAAAGGCACAGCCAACAAGGACACAAACAAUUUUGGAAACAGGUGAUCUUUUAUUCUUCACCAAAUGUUGAUUGAACACGUACAGGGUACCAGGAACUGGGAAUACAAUCAUAGACAAGUUCCCUGGGUUCACGGCCAUGCCACUGCUUGUUUUUGCACAGGCUGUGGGAAACCCACCCUGGCCUUGAUUAUGCCAGGGGGGCCUUAGCUUCCUUGGUAGUUGAUCAUUUUCUCCAGUGAAAGGGGAGAGGAAUGUGUUUAGAUAGGACCAUCCAGAUCAGAGUCGCUGCUGUUUCCUGUGUGGCCUUUAGAAAAGCUCUCUCAGCCUGAGAGUCUUCUCCUUCGGUAUCUAACCAUCUUCCCAGUUCACUAAACCUUACCUUACAUCCCAGCUAAACCCCUCACGGCAGUCUUAACCUCCUGCUUCAAUUCUGUGUUUGAGGGGAUAGAAAGCUCCCCAAAGCCUUGGUCAUAGGGAAAUAGCUUUAAGCAGAAUGCAGUCGCCCCUGACCCCAGCUACACAACAUUGAAAAACCCAUCUGCCCCUCCAGACCCAGGAGAAACCCUGGCCCUGAUUCCUCCAACCAGACAUGGUGCUCCGUCUCCCUCUGUGAGCAGUAUCAAAUCCAGUCUCAUGUAUGUUCUGCUGCCUGACCCUUGGGGUUGGCAUGAAUGUGGACAAAUGGUGGCUAAAAUUACCAUGUCCUGUUAUGGGAACAAACACCUCUGUCCACUGUCCCACACCCCACGUCAGCCCCCUGGCUGUUCUCUGAGUCUCUGUUUACUCUCUUAACAUCUCUGUGAGCCUUGGCUUCUUCAUCUGUGAAAUGGGGCUAAUACCUGCCUAUUGAAGAGUUGUGAAGAUUAAAGGUAAUAAUACAUGCACAAAGCCGGCUACUGGCGGGUCCACCAAACGUUGGUUGCCUUCUGUGUCAGUGGUGGAGUGGCCAGCAUGGCCUGGUGGCCCAGAGAACACCGGGGAAAGAAACGUCAGCUUCAUAAAACUGUGAUGUUUCAGAUCAUCUCUGCCUUAAAGAUGAUGUCCCAGGUUUGAGGACUUAAAGGGACAAAAAUUGACAGCUGAGAGGAGGGGGGUGGUGAAGAGGUUAUGUUUUCUCUCGCCUCCUAAGUGUGUGUG